rnacentral:lncRNA from 1 species
CUGCUUGUUUCCCAAAAACCUAUUGAAAUAAUAAGAAUUUUAAUUAAUUGCUGACAACCACCAGCUAGUAAGUAGUAGAGCUUAACUUGAGUCCAGUUCUGAAUAACUACUAAACCCAAGUACUUAACUGCUGAGCACUAUCUUGCCUCAGUUCUAAAAGGUAGUUAAAUACAGGUUUCUUUUUUUUCCCCCCAACUCCAGGAUUUCAUUGGUCUAGAAGCUCUGAGAUAGAGCAAGUCAAAAUCAUCUCUCUGCAUCUAGUGGCAUCCUGAACACAGAGAGGAGAGCUCUACUGUUUUGUGAACACAUCACAGCUGGGGGUCCUGUGCUUUUGCAUUCUUUCCAUGAGUCCAGUAUUACCUGAGGUAAUUUGAGGGAGUUUCUAUUUCCUGCAACCAGAUAAACCUACCUAGAACAGUUCUUAGCACAUUGAAGGGAACAUGAAAUCUGUAGUUAGAGAAAAAAUGUGUUUAUGUAGAGGGUCUAGAUGAGACAUGUUUCAUUGUGAUUUUCUUUUCUUCUGAAAAAGUUUCUGGGCUCCGAAAAUUCUGGCAUAUUUAGAGUUCCAAUGAAUCCAAGAUUUAUUGCCAUUCAUCCACAACAAGGUUUUCAGUGGAUGCUGAUUGUCCUCACAUACAACAAGGAGUACAGCAGGUGCUAUCAGUAUCCAGCUAACUUCUUGUAGGCCCUC